GGCCGGUUAGCUCAGUCAGUUGAGCGUGGCACUAACAAUGCCAAGGUUGCGGGGUCGUUUCCCGUUUGGUCCC
rnacentral:tRNA from 1 species